CCUACGGGUGGCAGCAGUGAGGAAUAUUGGUCAAUGGCCGAGAGCCUGAACCAGCCAAGUCGCGUGAGGGAAGACGGCCCUACGGGUUGUAAACUUCUUUUGCCGGGGAGCAAAGCGAGUCACGUGUGACUCAUUGAGAGUACCCGAAGAAAAAGCAUCGGCAAACUCCGGUCCAGCGGCCGCGGUAGUACGGGGGAUGCGAGCGUUGUCGGGAUUUGUGGGGGUUAACGGGUGCGCGGGCGGAGGGGAAAGUCAGCGGAAAAGUGACGGGGCUAAACCCCGAACUGCCGUUGAAACUGGAUACCUUGAGUGUGCGAGAGGAAUGGGGAAUGCGUGGUGUAGCGGUGAAAUGCAUAGAUAUCAGGAAGAACUCCAGUUGCGAAGGCGGCAAACCGGCGCGCAACUGACGCUCAGGCACGAAAGCGUGGGUAGCGAACAGGAUUAGAUACCCUAGUAGUC
rnacentral:rRNA from 1 species